ensembl:snoRNA
GACUUGUGUGAAAUCCCUUUUACCAGCUUGACAUGUCGCAUAUGACUGGUAAGAUUCAGCUGUGAAGUCAGCCAAAGC